rnacentral:lncRNA from 1 species
UAUUAUUUUCAUAAUUAGGUCUUUCCACUUUUCUGUGGAAAGACCUAUUGUUUUUCUUCUGAUUAUUUUUUUUUUUUCUCUCCGCCUAAUUUUGUUCUUGCGAUAAACAUUUGUUUCGCAAUAUGUCGCUUAGAUAUUUUGUAUAUGAUAUCGAACAGUUUAUGGGCUUUUGAAAUUUACCCUGCGUAAACGAAUACUUUUCUUUGUAGGAGUUAUCUCCCCAAACACUGUUUUCCUUGUUAUGGCAUCUCCUUCGCAACCGUUAAAGAUUAUGACAAAUUUAUUUU